UACAGCCACCAACUUCACUCCUUAUUAUAUCACCCACCAAAUCCUUCUCUCUUUACGCAUCAACAGCUUGAGGAAGUUGUCAUAAUUGCUGCAAGAUUCGAGAGCUAUCUUCUCAUUGAACUCAACAUCACCGCAGCCAACCAAAAGCACAAACAUUCAAGGUCGAGCGCAAGAAUAAGAGCUCGUCAAGGAGUCACUAAUCUGUAGCAAAGCUUUGCUAUCAGGUUGAGCAGCUGCCGAUGGUGAUGAAGUGACGAGCGGGACUCUUUUGUCUUAUUAUGUAUUAAUGAACUCUAGGGUUACAUGUCUUCAUACAUGUAAUCAGAACCUUAUUCCGCUGCGUACUCAGAAGUUUUAUGUUAUUUUGGAUAAGUCGGAGUUAUCCGAACUUACUAGUUAUUUGAGUCUAUACGACUAAAACUCCGUUAUAUUAUAA